rnacentral:rRNA from 1 species
UACGUAGGGUGCAAGCGUUAAUCGGAAUUACUGGGCGUAAAGCGUGCGCAGGCGGCUUUGCAAGACAGAUGUGAAAUCCCCGGGCUUAACCUGGGAACUGCAUUUGUGACUGCAUGGCUGGAGUGCGGCAGAGGGGGAUGGAAUUCCGCGUGUAGCAGUGAAAUGCGUAGAUAUGCGGAGGAACACCGAUGGCGAAGGCAGUCCCCCUGGGCCUGCACUGACGCUCAUGCACGAAAGCGUGGGGAGCAAACAGG